UCCUGAGUAGCUCAGGGUUUAAGGCACUUGCUUUGAGCGCUAGAUGAGCUCUACAGCCUGGGUUCAAUCCCAGCUAUGUCA